UCAAGAAAUCUGAUAAUAAUUUUUUAACUGGGCAAUCACCAGCAAUAUGAAGGUUAACAAGAGUAAGUGCUUGAUUUUGCACCUGGGAAGGGGAAGCCCUGGUUAUACAUACAGACUGGGGGACAAGAUGCUGGACAGCAGCCCUGCAGAAAGGGAUCUGGGAGUUUUGAUUGACAGCAAGCUGAACAUGAA